rnacentral:rRNA from 1 species
UACGUAGGGACCGAGCGUUGUCCGGAUUCAUUGGGCGUAAAGAGCUCGUAGGCGGCUGUUCAAGUCGGGGGUGAAAGCCCGAGGCUCAACCUCGGAACUGCCUUCGAUACUGCGGGUCUCGAGUCCGGGAGAGGUGAGUGGAAUUCCUAGUGUAGAGGUGAAAUUCGUAGAUAUUCGCAAGAACACCAGUGGCGAAGGCGGCUCACUGGCCCGAUACUGACGCUGAGGCACGAAAGCGUGGGGAGCAAACAGG